GUAGGUGAAGUGAUUUACUCAUGGAGCUGAAGUCAGUCGAAGAUACCAGCUGGCUGCAACUGUUUAUUAAAAACACAGCACUGUGCAAACACGAAAGUGGACGUAUACGGUGUGACGCCUGCCCGGUGCCGGAAGGUUAAUUGAUGGGGUCAGCGCAAGCGAAGCUCCUGAUCGAAGCCCCGGUAAACGGCGGCCGUAACUAUAACGGUCCUAAGGUAGCGAAAUUCCUUGUCGGGUAAGUUCCGACCUGCACGAAUGGCGUAAUGAUGGCCAGGCUGUCUCCACCCGAGACUCAGUGAAAUUGAACUCGCUGUGAAGAUGCAGUGUACCCGCGGCAAGACGGAAAGACCCCGUGAACCUUUACUAUAGCUUGACACUGAACAUUGAGCCUUGAUGUGUAGGAUAGGUGGGAGGCUUUGAAGUGUGGACGCCAGUCUGCAUGGAGCCGACCUUGAAAUACCACCCUUUAAUGUUUGAUGUUCUAACGUGGACCCGUAAUCCGGGUUGCGGACAGUGUCUGGUGGGUAGUUUGACUGGGGCGGUCUCCUCCUAAAGAGUAACGGAGGAGCACGAAGGUUGGCUAAUCCUGGUCGGACAUCAGGAGGUUAGUGCAAUGGCAUAAGCCAGCUUGACUGCGAGCGUGACGGCGCGAGCAGGUGCGAAAGCAGGUCAUAGUGAUCCGGUGGUUCUGAAUGGAAGGGCCAUCGCUCAACGGAUAAAAGGUACUCCGGGGAUAACAGGCUGAUACCGCCCAAGAGUUCAUAUCGACGGCGGUGUUUGGCACCUCGAUGUCGGCUCAUCACAUCCUGGGGCUGAAGUAGGUCCCAAGGGUAUGGCUGUUCGCCAUUUAAAGUGGUACGCGAGCUGGGUUUAGAACGUCGUGAGACAGUUCGGUCCCUAUCUGCCGUGGGCGCUGGAGAACUGAGGGGGGCUGCUCCUAGUACGAGAGGACCGGAGUGGACGCAUCACUGGUGUUCGGGUUGUCAUGCCAAUGGCACUGCCCGGUAGCUAAAUGCGGAAGAGAUAAGUGCUGAAAGCAUCUAAGCACGAAACUUGCCCCGAGAUGAGUUCUCCCUGAGACUUAGAGUCUCCUGAAGGAACGUUGAAGACGACGACGUUGAUAGGCCGGGUGUGUAAGCGCAGCGAUGCGUUGAGCUAACCGGUACUAAUGAACCGUGAGGCUUAACCUUACAACGCCGAAG
rnacentral:rRNA from 2 species